AGAGCUCGGUUGUAACCCUUCAGUAGGACGAAGCUUGCCGGUGAACAGCCGGUUGGAGUGACGGUACCUUCAGAAGAAGCCCCGGCUAACUACGUGC
rnacentral:rRNA from 1 species